ensembl:lncRNA
GCUGGAGCAAGGACCGGAGGGGCAGGGAGGAACUGGGCCUGUAGGGGCAAGAUGAGGCUGAUUCGGUUGGAUGGCACCAGAUGCAGAAGGAUCCUGAACACGCAAAUUUGAACUUGAUCUUAGAGGUAGACACUGAGGUUUCCUGGGAACCAGGAGAGGCUGGGCCAGGGUGGAACAGAACGUCAGACUUAAGUGGGCUCGUGGAAAUCAUCUACUCCCUAGACGAUUUACUGAAGAGGAAACUAAGGCCCAAAUGGGGACAGAGACUUGCCCAAGGCCACCCAGCCAGGGGUGCAGAGCUGGGCCAGAGCUCUGACUGCCUGGGAUCUUGUCUCCAGUCCUAUGGGGAAUAAACUGAGAACCGAUGUGCAAGGACCUGACUCCUGAGACCCUCCCAAGGCAUCUGGAAACCUCACUGGGGCCUCAGUGCCCCCUGGGGCCCGCAGAUCCGUUACUUCUCUGAGUUCUGUGGGAAAAUGAAAAGCUUCCAAAGCCGAUGAGGCAAAUACAUGCAAAAGAGAUGCAAAUACAAAGCUGAGAGUCCCCAUUUAAAACCUGUCUGGGUAUCGGGUGUUGCUUCUCUCCUCCCUGCUCUGCCGGAUUCAUCUAAAUUUACUGGCCCUGAGCUAACAGCCGUGCCCAUCUGCCUCUACUUUAUAUGUGGGACUCCUACCACAGCAUGGCGUGCCAAGCGGUGCCAUGUUGGCACCCAGGAUCCGAACCGGCGAACCCUGGGCCACUGAAGCAGAAUGUGCGCACUCAACUGCUGCGCCACCGGGCCGGCCCUGGGAGCAUUCUUUAUGGUUAAGUACUGUUUCCUGGGCUUCUGAGUGCCCUCUGGGAAAGCUCAGGGUCACUGUCUAGGAUAGGGGAGGGCAGACUCUAGGGAGAAGUGGCCUGGGGAGGGGUGCUGGGGGGAGGGGUGCUGGGGCAGGAUGAGCUGGGGGGUUCUGCUCUGAGUCUAAGACAGGGGCUGUAGACCCCAAAGGAAACCUCCCAGGUGUUGGCCUGGAAACCCCCUUUGGGGCCAACUGUAAGCCAUUCCUGCACUCAGUGCCACCACUGCCCUGAGGAAUUCCUGUAGGAGCCACCCGGCUGGUGAGGCACUCAACCUCCGGGGACCUGGGUCUCCUCAUGUGAAAACACAAGUGACAGUGUGAGGAAACCACCGUGCAAUGCUGAGUGGAAGCUGUCCAGGUGGGAGUGCUGGCCAGGUGGGGUCGUCCCUGGCCCUGGGGGCCCUGGUUCAUCUCCUUCCGGUGGUGACCUCAGGACAAGAAGAGAGUACGAGAAGGACGGUCAUGAGAUUUGAACGAGAUAUGAGCGUACAAGGAAGUACUUUGUAAGAAUGAGACAGCAAACAAGUUAAAGUACAGACGGAAAGAUACAGAGAGUGAAGAAGUCAAAGAGAAAAGCUACGGUGCUCUGGUUUCCAUUCACUUCAGUGCAGUUCCUUUCAACACAGUUGGUUGUAAUUCAGGUCAGUGAGUGUGUAUGGCAAGACUGUCCCCAUCCUAAGCUGGGCUUUGGGGGUAAUUUGAAAAGGACUUAGCCUCACCCUCAGGGAGUGAGGGUGACCAAACUCCAGGCCUGAACCAGAACAAGAUGGGCAGUGUUUGUGACGUGGGUCAGCAGGUCAGGGCCGCAGGUCAGUGGGGAGGAGGCAGAAGCAAGGAGGGAGGACAGUGUGAGCCGGAGGGUCAGAGCAGCCUUCAGGGGUGAGGCGGGGCAGGGAGCAUCCUGAGAGGUGAGUAGGAGUUGGGUGUGUGGAGGGAGGGAGGAGUCCGGCGUGUAUGCUCGCACGUACCCAGGGGCAUUCAAGCACAUAAGCAGACUGUGCAAGGGUGUACGUGAAUCACGCUUACACACUCACACAUGGACGCACACAGUCACCCAUGGGCACGUGGACACACACAGGCACAACCUUGGGCAUGCCAGAGCCUCCUCUCCCACGUCCCCCAGGCGGGGCGGGAGACAGGCAGGAAGAGGACAGAGGGACCAGGUGGAGGCAGGCCUGGGGACAGCAGGCACAGCUUCCGAAAGGAGGAGGGUGUGCAGCUGGCUUUUAGGAGGGAGGGAUUCAAGAGGCAGAGAGAAGUCUUUGGGGGGCUACUGGAGCCCAAGGAACCAAGCUCCCAGGCCCUCUCUGGCUGCCACCCCCACAUCCCACGCUCAGGCUGGGACCAGACUCCCAGAGCCACAAAGCAGCCAGGGGAUACUCCUCAGAAAUUGGUCUGAGGGUUAAUAGAAAUAGAAUUCUGUCCUGCCUGGAGGAUGGAACUGGGGGUGAUGGUCGGGGUGGGGGGUGGUCAGGGAAGGUUUUGAAUGUCCAGCCGUCCUGGAGCAAUGGGAAGGCAGCGAAGCUCAUGAGUGCAACUCUGACAACACUAAGUCUGAGCUUUGAGCUUUAGCAGCAAAGAGCAGACCUUGCUGGAGGGAGAAAGCCAGGCGGAAGGCUUUCCAAGGGUCAGGAGCCCAGCAGGAGGCAGGCCUGGGGGCUCUGGGCUUGGGUGGGCAGGGGGCUGGCCCGAGACCAGCAGGGAGGAGGAAGUGCUGAAUCUUCAUCUGGGGGUCCUUCUCCCUGGCUGGACUCAGAACACACCCUCUAUGAAUCUGCAUCCUGGGAGCCUUUGGGUGCCCUCUCUGAGGCCCCUUCCAGCCCCUACAUUCUGUGGGUUUGGCCCGGCAACCUUGGACAGAUGACAUCACUUCUCCUGCCUCCAUUUUCUCAUCUGUCAAGUGAGCAUAGGAAUUCCUGUGCACCCUGGGAUGUGCAAGGCCCAAAGGGAUGCCCUGGUGCUUUUCUGGCCAAGUUUGGGCCAAGGGUCAGGCAGGGAGGUUCAGGGCAGGGAAGGACCCAGGCCACAGCUUCACCUCUAUCUUCCUGGGGUGGCCCCUCAGCUUAUCUGAGUCAGGCCAGGGCAGGGGUAGGCAAGGAGGAGAUCCUCCUCCAGCGGCCAGAUAGUGUGAGGGGGUGAUAAAGGGCGCAGGCCCAGAAAUUGGCUUAGGGAGCGUGGGACAAGCGAGGCUGUCACUUCCCUGCCCCCCUUGCCCCACCUCCAGGGCACCCUCCAGGCCAGCCCCAGCCUUCCCCCAUGCCUCCCACCACCCCCAUGGGGCAGAAGGAGGGAGAGGAGGCCACAGGAACUGGCGUUUGAAGGUUGGUGGUGCCCUUUGUACACAGUGUCAGGGGACUGAUAGGGGCAGAGGCCAGGCUACAGGGGAAAGGCAGGGUGACCAACUUGUCCCCGUUUGUCAGGACCUUCCCAGUUUUAAUGCUGAAUGCCUGUCCUAGGAAACCCCUCAUCCUGAACAAAUCAGGAUGCUUUGCCUAGGACUGUCCAGGUUGUAAAACUGAAAGUCCCUUAUUCAUCCCAGGAACCCCCAGUCAGUCCCAGAGAAACGGGGGCAGUUGGUCAUCCUACAAGUAAAGGAGUAAGUCUGGGGGGGUGCUAGGAUGCGAGGAGCAGAUAGCUCCUGUCUGAGUUUCUGUAGCCCUGGUUCUUAACCCUGCCUACUUGUCCUCAGCGCACACCCUGUGUGAGGGAACCGCUCAGGUUUUAUCUCCAGCCCAGGGGUCUGGAGGUCACUAGAGGGCUUCGUAGCUGGGCUGAGGCUGGGACGGGUGGAGAGUCCAUGUGAGGAUCCUUGGUGUCUGAUGCUCUGCCCUCCAGGAGCCUGCAGAGGCAGAGACUGGGCUUGGCUUGGUGCCUCACAAAUGGCAGCUCUGGUUAGUGAGCUGCUACGGGACCACGGAUGAAACCAGCAGCCACAUCUCUGAGAUCAGAAAUUGAUGAAAAUCAGAGUCAGGGCCUGGCUUUUGGGGUCCAGUCAGAAUGCUCUGCUCAGAGUCCCUGUCCCCAUGCCGCUCUCAGGGCCCCAGCUUGCUUGGCCCUGCCGUGCCUGGGCUUCUGAGAGCAGAGCACGUUCUGGGGAGAGGACAGGAAAGCAGUCAGGUGGGUGGGGGAUAGUCAGGGACACCUCCCUAGAGAGGACUCAGACAGGACAGGGAUGUCUGAAUGGGGGCUUUGUACAGCGUGCAGUUCAGGUCUAGGCUCCCUGCCUCCUAGCCUGGGGACUUGGUUUCAUCCCACACUCACCCCUAAAAAAGGAUGGACUUUCCUUACCUGGAAUAUGGAAAUCCCAGAGACCCUUGGCCCCAGCACCUCCGUUCUCAGAGGGAGACUGGGCAGUCAAGAUGGGACCAAAGCCCAAUGGGGAUGAUGAGAGCAGGGCCUGGGGGACAAAACAGAGCACCCUGAAGGGAAAGGCCGCAGACCUUCUGUUGGAGGAUGGGCCCAAAGGGAUGAGAGAGGAAAAUCCUGUCCCGAGCAGCCCCUAGGACAGCUCCCUAUAGAUAUGCUCAACCAGCCCAUCAGGAGGUUGGCCCAGCCUCCUCGGGCUGCUCUAGGGUCUCCUGGGCCCUUGUGACAGAGUGUGGUCCUCCGAUGGGCAUCAUCUGGGACCCUGUUAGAAAUGCAGACUCUCAGACCCCACUCUAGACCUACUGGAGCAGAACCCUCUUUUUGACAAAGCCGGCAGGUGUGGUUGGAGAAGUACUGCUCCAGAGUCUUCCCCUCUCUGGAUAAGCCUUUCAGAGAAGGUAUUUGAGAGACUCUCUGUUUCUCAGGCUCUGCGGAAUGUCUGAACCAGAUGCCCGCAGAGCAACCAUUUCUAGACCUGAUGGAGACUCUGCCCCACUUCCCCUCCCAGGGAUCCCUGAGUUGGAGGGGUGGGCAAGGUCUGUUAGUGAAGCCAGCUGUGGUCUUGCUGCCAACAUCCGGGUUGGCGGAUGGGCAAAGGUGAGCUGAUCACGUUCUAACUCUAGGCUCUGUUGCUUCCAGAAAGUCUUCCUCGCCCCUCUGCUCCCUCAGCCCACCAGAAGUAGGUGUCUGCUUAUAGCUCGCCUCAUUUUACCCGUAUCAGGCCCUAUGCCUUCCCAGGACCCGCCUCCCCCAUGGUGCCGUUCUGGUCACCUCUGAACCACCAAGGCCUCCCAGGUAGUGUGCUCAGCAGACGUCUGGAAGAUUAAUGUGUGGUCAGCCACAGGACCCCCAACAGUGACCAUGAAGUUCCAGACAGGUGGAGGCCCUGGGGAGAGGGGCUGGUAAGGGAGCUCAAGCAGGGGCCCAGAGGCCAGUCUAGCUGUCCUAGGGGACAGACAGCGGGAGUGCUCCGGGUGGGUGAUUCCGGGGCAUUUGGGUCUCUAACUCAGCCUUCCCCGCCCUCCCACACCAGACUCGGCCACGAGACCAAACUGUGUGAACAAAUGGUGCUGAUGGUCCAGGGGCCGGGACGGAAUCCCCCCAGACAGCCUGGCCAAAGGGUGCAGUCUCCUACUUCCCAGGACUGCUUGAGGGAGACAGGACAAGCAUCCCCGUUAUACAGAAGAAGAAACUGAAGUCAAGGGUGAAAUCGGGCAAGUUCCUGAACCUCGCUGAGCCUGUUUCCUGUCUGUCAGAUGGGGCGGCGCCAUCUGUCUGUUCGGGGAGUAAGCCCCACCAAGCAUGUAAAGCACCAACUAAUGCAGUGACCAGCCC